rnacentral:lncRNA from 1 species
CAUUUUCUGAACCUAAAUCAUGGGCAACAAUCAUCAGAUGACUAUGCGCCCAACCAGGCUGCUGCUACCAUCUAGAUCUCUGACUGACUAAUUUUAAAGUUAUUAUACACCAAGUAAGAGACGUAGGCACUUGAUCCAGAUGCAAGGGGUGGAACUUGUGCAUCUAGAUGCUACGAACCAACUGUGAAAGGACAUGGGACAAUG